AGCUUGCUCUUCGAUUCAGCGGCGGACGGGUGAGUAAUGCCUAGGAAUCUGCCUGGUAGUGGGGGACAACGUUUCGAAAGGAACGCUAAUACCGCAUACGUCCUACGGGAGAAAGCAGGGGACCUUCGGGCCUUGCGCUAUCAGAUGAGCCUAGGUCGGAUUAGCUAGUUGGUGAGGUAAUGGCUCACCAAGGCGACGAUCCGUAACUGGUCUGAGAGGAUGAUCAGUCACACUGGAACUGAGACACGGUCCAGACUCCUACGGGAGGCAGCAGUGGGGAAUAUUGGACAAUGGGCGAAAGCCUGAUCCAGCCAUGCCGCGUGUGUGAAGAAGGUCUUCGGAUUGUAAAGCACUUUAAGUUGGGAGGAAGGGUACUUACCUAAUACGUGAGUAUUUUGACGUUACCGACAGAAUAAGCACCGGCUAACUCU
rnacentral:rRNA from 1 species